UUGAUACUCCUCACCUCGUACUAUACAUAAUAAGCAUAUGAUUAAGAUAUGUUUUUUGACUAGACCAAAAACUUGUAAAAUCUGGUUUGUGUAGCUCUCUAUAUGCUCAAAAUUGAUUACCUGAAAUAAAAACUCAAGAAACCUUAUUCAAAUCUGCAUUACUGAAUCAUGUUUUCUGAAGUACUGCCUCCUUUCACAAAUAUAAGAUGUUCAGACUUUUUUCUGAAUCGGAUGUAUGUAGACAUGUUUUAGCAUGGUUGUUCACUAAUUUCAGUCCGUGUGUAGUCCAUAUUGAAAUAUCUAAAACACCUUAUAUUUGUGAGCGUAGAGAGUAAUAACUUGUGUUGUUUUUAAAUUCCCUGCAAUUUGUUAAGAUUUUCAGAAAGGACUUGAGAUGGAACCCUAUGUUUAGCAAGCUAAAAACUGUGUUGUUCAAUGAUUGGUGUCUGACUGCAAACUUUGCUGGACUACUUUACUUUCUUCAGCACACACCAAUUCUUGAAAAGCUUGCCCUUCAACUUCCAUCUCACGAGGUAUAUGUUUUUUCAUAUAUGAUAGCUUUUGUCGCUGAACCUAACAUUUAUAGCUGAUUCAUUUGAGUAAAAUCAUAUGUUUUCAACAGUAUUUGGACAUCAUAUCAAGUGGAAGCUACAACCCAGCAGAAUAUUUCUUGGUGUCGAAGCAUCUGAAGGUAGUUGAAAUCUAUUGUAGGAAGGAGUCUGAAUGGAUUAAUCAAAUUGUGAACAUCCUUGGUAUUCAUGGAGUAACUUCUGCGCAAAUUAGCAUCAAACAUGAUUUUUGAUGUUCUUUCAGGUUCAGUUUCGAGCAGCCGAAGUAGAUCAGAUGGUCUACUAUUCCUGGUUAUUCAGGCUUUGGUGUCCCUGAAUCAAUGUUGGCAGCAUAGGCUUUCUACGUUUUGUCUACCUGGAUCGUGCGCAUGUCCUGUUCCAUCCAUAUGCAGGAAGAACUCCCGUCGAGACGCAGUUUGAGUAGGUUCAAAUGUCGAUGCAGUAAUGUUGCACCUUUGGCCGGUGUCAGGCCUCGACUGAUUUACCUAUUGAAGGCCUAUGAUCUAUUAUAUGUUUAUAAGCAACUUGUAUGUCUAGCUUAACUUGUGUAAAAUGGUACCUGCACUGUUAUAUGGAGUAAACAUUCAUGACGCCA